AGUGAACGCUGGCGGUAGGCCUAACACAUGCAAGUCGAACGGCAGCACAGUAAGAGCUUGCUCUUACGGGUGGCGAGUGGCGGACGGGUGAGGAAUACAUCGGAAUCUACUUUCUCGUGGGGGAUAACGUAGGGAAACUUACGCUAAUACCGCAUACGACCUACGGGUGAAAGCAGGGGAUCUUCGGACCUUGCGCGAUUGAAUGAGCCGAUGUCGGAUUAGCUAGUUGGCGGGGUAAAGGCCCACCAAGGCGACGAUCCGUAGCUGGUCUGAGAGGAUGAUCAGCCACACUGGAACUGAGACACGGUCCAGACUCCUACGGGAGGCAGCAGUGGGGAAUAUUGGACAAUGGGCGCAAGCCUGAUCCAGCCAUGCCGCGUGGGUGAAGAAGGCCUUCGGGUUGUAAAGCCCUUUUGUUGGGAAAGAAAAGCAGCAGGUUAAUACCCCGCUGUUCUGACGGUACCCAAAGAAUAAGCACCGGCUAACUUCGUG
rnacentral:rRNA from 1 species